GUCUCGUUGGUCUAGGGGUAUGAUUCUCGCUUUGGGUGCGAGAGGUCCGGGUUCAAAUCCCGGAUGAGCCC
rnacentral:tRNA from 1 species